UUCAAGUGUGAGGUCAUUAGCAACAGUGCUGCAGAACUUGGCCUUCAAGUCCUCAAUUGCAUUGCUGCCAUCGUACACCGCAACAAAGUUCUUCUUACACUCGUUGGAAUUCUCUAACUGGUAUUCCAGGAAACGAAGGAAGAUCUGUGAUGAGGAAGAGAAAAGAAAAAUCUCAACGCGAAUGUCAUUUCAGUCACUGUUUAGUCAUGCGGUACACCUAUCUGGAAGCAUCUAUAUUCCCUACAUACCAAGGAAAUGUGUAAUCCACUCGAAAGCCCAAUCCCUCUAGCUCCUCAUCACUGGUGAAUUUGAUCCACAUGAAGCGCCCUGUGGAGGUGACCACUCCUGGGCUCUGAGAUCCGCAGAAACGGUUUAUCAGU